rnacentral:rRNA from 1 species
AACGAACGCUGGCGGCAUGCCUAACACAUGCAAGUCGAACGAGACCUUCGGGUCUAGUGGCGCACGGGUGCGUAACGCGUGGGAACCUGCCCUUAGGUUCGGAAUAACUCCCCGAAAGGGGUGCUAAUACCGGAUAAUGUCUUCGGACCAAAGAUUUAUCGCCUUUGGAUGGGCCCGCGUUGGAUUAGCUAGUUGGUAGGGUAAAAGCCUACCAAGGCGACGAUCCAUAGCUGGUCUGAGAGGAUGAGCAGCCACACUGGGACUGAGACACGGCCCAGACUCCUACGGGAGGCAGCAGUGGGGAAUAUUGGACAAUGGGCUAAAGCCUGAUCCAGCAAUGCCGCGUGAGUGAUGAAGGCCGUAGGGUUGUAAAGCUCUUUUACCCGGGACGAUAAUGACAGUACCGGGAGAAUAAGCUCCGGCUAACUCCGUG